AUUGAACGCUGGCGGCAGGCUUAACACAUGCAAGUCGAGCGAGCGGCGGACGGGUGAGUAAUGUCUGGGAAACUGCCUGAUGGAGGGGGAUAACUACUGGAAACGGUAGCUAAUACCGCAUACCAUCAGAUGUGCCCAGAUGGGAUUAGCUAGUAGGUGGGGUAAUGGCUCACCUAGGCGACGAUCCCUAGCUGGUCUGAGAGGAUGACCAGCGACACUGGGACGUGUGACAGGUCCAGACUCCUAAGGGAGGCAGCAGUGGGGAAGAUUGCACAAUGGGCGCAAGCCUGAUGCAGCCAUGCCGCGUGUUAGAAGAAGGCCUUCGGGUUGUAAAGCACUUUCAGCGAGGAGGCGUUACUCGCAGAAGAAGCACCGGCUAACUCCGUGCCAGCCGCCGCGGUAAUUC
rnacentral:rRNA from 1 species